rnacentral:ribozyme from 1 species
UGCCCAGAAACUCGUUUCCCUAUCUCCACUUGGCACCGGCCGGGCUACAAGCAACCUUGGGGAACCAACCCCGGUGGGAACUUUUAUCGUAGGCUGAAAGGGAAGG